CCCCAAAAAAAAACCCCCCCCCCCCAAAAAAAAAAUUUGAAGUCAUGUAUGGGUGCUGGUGGCUGUCAAAUACCAUUACCAAAAGGCUUGAAAUAUUUCAACAUAUCAACGCAAAGCUCGAAAUUAAAUCACACUGUUGCUUGGUCGUUUAACAUAUGUGGCUAUGCAUUUCUUGGUAAGGCAAGUAAAUUAGAAUUUAAGGGUUUGCCGGAUCUUGGUGAUCUUAAUUUUGCAAAUAAGAUUAUGGAUAAUGUUCCAAUUGUGGUAGAUUGGACCAUCGGAAAUCUUAGUUGUGUUGAAGCACAGAAACACCUCCUUCACUCUCAUUAUUAGAAACAAAAUUAUAUUGAGAUCAAUUUCCUAUAUACACCAAAAGGGUCCGGAAAUCUGAAGAUUUUGGUAGCUUGUUAUUUUUUUUUUGAUUAAACAAAACUGGAAGGAAUUGCCAUCUAAGGAAAUAGGUGCACAACAUUGUGGAUGUUCAACAAUUUGCUUAUCAUUCAUAUGCGUUUCUGGAUUUUCCUCACGAGUGUUUCAAGAUAACUUCGUUGUUGUUGUUCCCUCCUUUACUGAUUGAGCUACAUCGCCCAAUUCCAGAUCUGGAUUUGCUUUUGUUUAGCUGGUCGUCCCUGUAAUUAGGAUCUGAGGCAGGUACAUCUGGCUAUCAGUCUGGUGUGUGCCCCUGAUUCUUAGUCCGAAACUUCCACGAUGAGCUGCCUCUUCCUGUGUCGUUCAGCAGCUUGAUGGAGUCUCUCUCUAUUUAUUUUUGUUGUCUAUUCUAUUUCGGACAACAGAAUGGAUUUAUUCUUUUGUAUAUUCUACUAGUUGCCUAUAACUUGUGACACUAGGUCUUGGCACACACAUUAGUAGACGUUUCUUUGGGUUAUAUAAUUAUUAUCGAAUGUUGCAUGUUA